GUUCGGUCCCCAGCUCCGAAAAAAAAAACAAAAACAAAAACAACAAAGAAACACACACACAUACCCUUAAGGUAUCCAUGACCAUAAGAACCAUCUUAUGCUUUGAUAACAACUGAUUUUUGUUUGUUUUGGUUGGUUUUUGAGACAGGGUUUCUCUGUGUAGCUCUGGCUGUCCUGGAACUCACUCUGAGACCAGGCUGGCCUCAAACUCAGAGAUCCACCUGCCUCUGGAGUGCUUGGAUUAAAGGGGUGAGCCACCAUACCUGGCCUUCAGUUUUGCUUUUAAGGCGCAAGACCAAUUGCACAGUGCCCUCCAGCUUAACAAGCAUGACCUGACUUACAUUAUGCUGGGGAAGAUCCAUUUACUGCAGGGAGACUUGGAUAAAGCCAUUGAGAUCUACAAGAAAGCAGUGGAGUUCUCUCCAGAAAAUACAGAACUUCUCACAACUUUAGGAUUACUCUACCUACAGCUUGGUGUUUACCAGAAGGCAUUUGAACACCUUGGGA
rnacentral:lncRNA from 1 species